rnacentral:rRNA from 1 species
ACGGGAGGCAGCAGUGGGGAAUAUUGGGCAAUGGGCGCAAGCCUGACCCAGCAACGCCGCGUGAAGGAUGAAGGUCUUCGGAUUGUAAACUUCUUUAAUCGGAGAAGAAAAAAAUGACCUACCCGAAGAAUAAGCCACGGCUAACUACGUGCCAGCAGCCGCGGUAAUACGUAGGUGGCAAGCGUUAUCCGGAUUUACUGGGUGUAAAGGGCGUGUAGGCGGCUCUGCAAGUCAGAAGUGAAAGUCCCGGGCUCAACUGGGGCGCUGCUUCGGAAACUGCAUAACUUGAGUACUGGAGAGGAAAGCGGAAUUCCUAGUGUAGCGGUAAAAUGCGCAGAUAUUAGGAGGAACACCGGUGGCGAAGGCGGCUUUCUGGACGGUAACUGACGCUGAGGCGCGAAAGCGUGGGGAGCAAACAGGAUUAGAUACCCUGGUA